rnacentral:rRNA from 1 species
GAUGAACGCUGGCGGCGUGCCUAAUACAUGCAAGUCGAGCGAACAGAUAAGGAGCUUGCUCCUUUGACGUUAGCGGCGGACGGGUGAGUAACACGUGGGUAACCUAUCUAUAAGACUGGAAUAACUCCGGGAAACCGGGGCUAAUGCCGGAUAACAUGUUGAACCGCAUGGUUCUACAGUGAAAGGCGGCUUUGCUGUCACUUAUAGAUGGACCCGCGCCGUAUUAGCUAGUUGGUGAGGUAACGGCUCACCAAGGCAACGAUACGUAGCCGACCUGAGAGGGUGAUCAGCCACACUGGAACUGAGACACGGUCCAGACUCCUACGGGAGGCAGCAGUAGGGAAUCUUCCGCAAUGGGCGAAAGCCUGACGGAGCAACGCCGCGUGAGUGAUGAAGGUCUUCGGAUCGUAAAACUCUGUUAUUAGGGAAGAACAAAUGCGUAAGUAACUGUGCGCGUCUUGACGGUACCUAAUCAGAAAGCCACGGCUAACUACGUG